CCCCCCCAAGUCAAAAAAAAUUAUUUUUUUUAUCUUUUUACACAUUUGAUUUUUUCACAAAUCUAAAAAAAAAAUAAAUUGGCUUGGGGGUGGGGUGGGGAGUGGCGAAAAUACCAGAAUUUGUAAAAUAAAAAAAACGUUGGCUUGGGGGUGGUGGUGGGGGGGGGGGGGGGGUGGGGUAGCGAAAAUAACAGAUUUGUUAAAAGGAAAUGCAUUUUUUGUAUAAUUUAAUGCAUUUUUAUAUGAAAAUUUAUGCAUUUUUAUGUGAAAUUAUAUGCAUGUAAAACAUGUCAGUUUUUAGGGGGUGCGGGGUUGUGUGGGGUGGGGUGGCAAAAAUAUCAAAUUUGUAAAAAUGUAAUGCAUUUUUCUGUUCAAAAUUAUGCAUUUUUGUGUCAAGCUUUAUGUAUUUUUGUGUAAAAUUAUAUGAAUGUAAAACAUGUCAAUUUUUGGGGGGUGGGUGGGGUUGGGGUGGGCCAGUGAUGAAAAUUUCAGAUUUCUGAAAAAGUGCAAUGUAUUUUUUGUACACUUUAAUGUAUUUAUGCGUGUUCUGUUAUGCAUUUUUAUGUGAAACUUUAUACAUAAAAAAUAUAUUUUCCCAGAAAAUCUAAAAAAAAUCAACAAAUAUAUAUGUAUAUAUAUAUAUAUAUAUAUUUUCUAUUUUUUUAAUAACCAAAAAUAAUUUUCCGAUUUUAUCCAUGUGCAGAUUUUAUCUCGGAAUGCCUUGAAAGCACUUUACCACCUGUCACAAUUUUGAUGCGCCUCAUAUCUCAAAUAUAUGAUUAAAAUUGGAUACUGCACAUUAAGACAUGGUACUAAAGGAACUCAUCCAUCUAUAUAUAUAAGUUAGGUAAAAGUGUACCUUUUUCCCCGGGAUGAGAGUUCGGAACAAGGAUAGCAACGCAGAUACCACUCCAUUUAUAGCAAUGUCGACAUGCCAUGACCCGAUUUGCUCUGCCACCACCCUGCUGCUUGACCCCCCUUCACAACUAUCCCAUCUAUUUUUAGCUUAUUCAUUCAAUAUUAAUAUAUUACUAUCAUAUAUGCUCAAAUUCAAUCUCACCUGCCCAUAUAAAUUGUGUAGAAUAUCCGUUUAGCAAAUUCUUUGCUGUCCGUUGGAAAUUGUCCAUCAUUGUAGUGCCCAAUUCUCAUUGCAUCAGCUUUCACUUGUUCAUCCCCAUUUGCAAUUUCUGCCAACUUAUUUGAAACAUUAUUUGUUUAGUAAAAGAGUGGGGUUGAUAUUUUAGAAUAGAAGAGAGACGACGACCUUUGACGACGAGUUGACACAUACAACCAACAAUAGCAGCAACAGAGGAAGAAGCCACUCCACCAGAGAGUGGAAGCAGAAAACCCGAGGCGCCGCUUCUUCUUAGAUAAUUCCACAACCAGCAAGCUGCCCCCAUCGCUAUCUCCUCUUCACCACACACACUCUUAACCUAUACUUCUUCAAUUCAUUAAUUACAUAUUCAAUCAUUCUAUCCUAAUGAAAAGCUUGGAUUGAUUUACCUUUAUUGGAGUUGAAACUGAGUUUUGGAGCUUGAAAGAGUGGCAAAGCUUGUAAGGUAUAAAAAUGGAUGGAACUUUCUUUUUGCAACUUGCUUGUUCCCGAUAGCUGCUGUUAGAGAGUCUCAAAUUGGUCACCUGCAACUUGGUCAACAAAAAUCCAACUUAAUAUACAUAUCACAAAAUUCGAGAAGUUGAAUAUUUUUCUAAUAUUUAGGAUAAAGUUGAGUUGCAUACCUUGUCUAGAUCUACUUGGGCAAUGGCCAUAUCGACAUCUUUCAAUGAAAAUUGUUGGGCAUGGGCAACCACAUCUCCAUUUGCAACAAUACAUGAGCAUCCAUCUGCACAUCAAAUUUAUCAAAUUUAGAGAAUUAUUGAUAUAUAUAUAAGUAGGUAGGAGUAGGUGGAAAGCAAUCUACCAUAGUAAACCCUGGAACCAUCACAUCCUAAGUGAUUACUGUACAUGUAAACUCCUCCACGAGCAGACAUGGCGGUGGUGAUAAGGCGAAGACGACGAUCCUUCUUCUGCUUUAGAUGAAUGCUUCCACUUGCAUUCAUGAAUACUUCUACUCCAUUCAAUGCCAGUUCAGGGUGAACUUGUACUGGACUAAAUAAUUCCAUGCAGAUUUCAGCUGCAACAGCUCUAAGAACAACACAUAAUAUUGUAUAAAUUAGUAUGGCUUAGUUGUAAUUUUAACCCGUUCUCAAACACAUACAAAAAUAAAAAAAUGUCCACACAUAUUAGAACAUAUAAAUAAUACCCAUUUAAGAUAUUUAUACCCUUCAUGAAAAUAUAAUUAUACUCUUCUGUCUCUUUCUCUCUCUUAGUUCUCCAAUGCUCGACGCUCGACAUUCGAUGCUCAAUGCUCGAGUGUCGAGCAAUAGCUCAAUUUGAACUAUUGCUUGACGAUCGGUCGAGCAUGUGAACGUCAAGCAUCAAGUCGAGUAUAUGUUAGGGUUGAGAUUUCAUUUUGAUUCAAGUAUUUUGGUGUUGGAUUUGUGAAUUGGUGGUAGUAUUGUAGAUUUGCAAAGUACAACGAUUGGCAAUAACGCGGUGGUCGUCGAUUGACGAUGGCAUGCGGUGGAAGUCGGCCGCCGAUGGGCUAUGGUAAUCAAUCGAUGGUGGCAUGCGGUGAUUAUGGGCGGUCAGCGGGUGGUGGUAGGACUGUUGGAAUAUAAGUAUAUAUAAAUGGAGAAUUUGAUUUAAUUGAUGGGAGAAAAUUUGGAGAAAUUGGUUGUGGACGUGUGUGUGCUUAGGAAUUUUAGAGGGAGGAUUGUUGUUUACUAACACAAUUUUCUUCAAUUCACUUCCUUCUUUACUUCAUUCUCAAUUGAUACAACCUCCACAUAUAUAUAGUAGUUAAGUGAGAAUUCUAGAAUUCUCUUGAUUUUUUCUAUCUAGAUUUUUCUACUUAAAAUAUCUUGAUUCUAGAUAUUUCUAAUACAAAUAUCUUCACUUACUUUUUCUAGAAUUCUCUAUAUUUUUCUUUUAAAAUAUCUUGAUUCUAGAUAUUUCUAAUACAAAUAUCUUCACUUACUUUUUCUAGAAUUCUCUAUAUUUUUCUUUUAAAAUAUCUUCACUCAAAAAAUCAAGUUUAUUUUUAUAUUCCAACACUCCCCCUUAAACUUGAUUUUUCAUUCCGAGCGAACUUCUGAAUUUGGCGAAAUCCUUUCACGACGUGCCUUGCUUUAUAUCUUUCAACUUCACCUUUGGAAUUCUCCUUAUGCACCCACUUGACUCCAAUGGCCUUGUGCCUUUCCGGUAGUGGCACGAGCUCACACGUAUCAUUCUUGUUUAUGGCUUUGAUCUCUUCGUCCAUUGCAACUCGCCUAAUUUUCACUAUUUGCUGCUUUAGGUCAUAAUCAGCAGAUAGGCAAAACAAGGUGAGAUCUUCUAACCUUUCAGUGUCUUCAUAUAUCUCAUCCAAAUUCCUUGCUCGUGGUGUGGCUCUUUCAUUUAAGAAAGAUGGUGGCGAGUCUUCAGUAACUUGUAUAGGUGAAGCUGGCGGAGUCACUAGCUCUUGUUGGACUUCUCCAACUUGCUCGACUGUCCUUUCAUCAUCGAAUUGUGGGAUGAAGGUGAAGUCACCACUGGAAUUAAAAUCCCACACUCCUUCUUCGUCGAACUCCACAUCUCGACUUAUCACUGUUUUCUUGGUAUUUGGAUUAUAUAACUUAUAGCCUUUAGAGUUAGAGUCGUACCCGAUAAAGAUGAAUGCUUCACUUUUAUCAUCGAGCUUCUUCCUUCUCUUAUCUGGUACAUGCACGUAGGCUUUGCUCCCAAAUACCUUUAGGUGGGAAAUUCCUGGCUUUCUCCCGCUCCAGGCUUCUUGUGGAGUCAUUCCCCACACGCUCCUUGUCGGCGAUCGGUUGGAUAGGUACACCGCGCACGCCACUGCUUCGGCCCAAAACUCUUUAGGCAGAUUCUUCGUCUUUAGCAUGCUCCUCGCCAUCUCCAUGAUUGUUCUGUUUUUUCUUUCCGUCCACUCCGUUCUGUUGGGGGGAUCUCGGAACUGUCAGGGGCCGUCGAAUUCCAUUUGCUUCGCAAAAAUUCUAGAAACUCAUUUGAUGUGAAUUCUCCGCCUCGAUCGGACCUCAGGGCCUUGAUUUGUCGUCCGCUCUCCUUCUCGACGGCAGCUUUGAAUUUCUUGAAUGCAUCAAAUACUUCCGACUUCUGCUUCAAGAAAUAUACCCACGUUUUUCUAGAAAAUCAUCAAUGAAUAGCAGAAAAUAAUUAUUUUUACCGAGGGAGCUUGGAUUUAUUGGCCCACACACGUCAGCAUGAAUCAACUCCAGUGGCUUUUGAGCUCUUGAGCUUGACUCCUUUGGAAACGGCUUUCUGAACUGCUUCCCGAGUAGACAACCUUCGCAGAGUUGAUCGGGAUGUUUGAUGGAUGGUAGGCCUCUCACCAUCUCUUUUUUGGACAAUAACUCCAAACCACCAAAAUUUAAGUGCCCAAACCGAAGAUGCCACAACCAAGACUUAUCUUGGUAACAUGCUUUCAGGCAUUUUGCCACAUCAUUUCUAAUAUUUAAUAGAAACAUUCUAUUUUUCGACAUUGGCACCUUGGCAAUAAGAUUAUUUUUGUCAUCUCUUAUUGAAAGGUUAUAAUCUCUCAUGUGAAUAUCAUAACCUUUCUCUAAGAGUUGUCCCAAACUCAAGAUAUUAUUUUUCAUAUUGGGCACGUAAUAAACAUUGGAAAUAAAUUCAUGAUUUCCAUUCUUCAAGCGGAUUAAAAUUUUUCCUUUUCC
rnacentral:lncRNA from 1 species